rnacentral:rRNA from 1 species
CAAAAGCGUAUAUUAAAGUUGUUGCAGUUAAAAAGCUCGUAGUUGAACCUUGGGCUUGGCUGGCCGGUCCAUCUUUUUUGAUGCGUACUGGACCCAGCCGAGCCUUUCCUUCUGGCUAGCCUUUUGGCGAACCAGGACUUUUACUUUGAAAAAAUUAGAGUGUUCAAAGCAGGCCUUUGCUCGAAUAUAUUAGCAUGGAAUAAUAGAAUAGGACGUUAUGGUUCUAUUUUGUUGGUUUCUAGGACCAUCGUAAUGAUUAAUAGAGACGGUCGGGGGUAUCAGUAUUCAGUUGUCAGAGGUGAAAUUCUUGGAUUUACUGAAGACUAACUACUGCGAAAGCAUUUACCAAGGACGUUUUCAUUAA